CCCUUAGAUGUUCUGGGCCGCACGCGCGCUACACUGACGGAGGCAGCGAGCGUGUCCUUCGCCGGCAGGUGCGGGCAAUCUUGCGAGUCUCCGUCGUGCUGGGGAUAGAUGGUUGCAAUUGUCGAUCUUGAACGAGGAAUUCCUAGUAAGCGCGAGUCAUCAGCUCGCGCUGAUUACGUCCCUGCCCUUUGUACACACCGCCCGUCGCUACUACAGAGUGCCCGUGUCCAAGAAACGGUCGGACCUGUGCGGCCUCUCCGGGCGACCGGAGGGCCGUUACGGGGAAGACCCUUUAUUUGACGCGGGCCGAUGAAGUAAAAGUCGUAACA
rnacentral:rRNA from 1 species